AACGGCCGUACCAUGCUGAAUAUACCGGUUCUCGUUAGAUCACCGAAGUUAAGCGUCAUUGGGCGCGGUCAGUUGUGGGUGACCAC
rnacentral:rRNA from 1 species